GAUGAACGCUAGCGACAGGCUUAACACAUGCAAGUCGAGGGGCAGCACAGGUAGCAAUACCGGGUGGCGACCGGCGCACGGGUGAGUAACGCGUAUGCAACUUACCUAUCAGAGGGGGAUAACCCGGCGAAAGUCGGACUAAUACCGCAUGAAGCAGGGGUCCCGCAUGGGGAUAUUUGCUAAAGAUUCAUCGCUGAUAGAUAGGCAUGCGUUCCAUUAGGCAGUUGGCGGGGUCACGGCCCACCAAACCGACGAUGGAUAGGGGUUCUGAGAGGAAGGUACCCCACAUUGGUACUACGACACGGACCAAACUCCUACGGGACGCAGCAGUGAGGAAUAUUGGUCAAUGGACGAGAGGCUGAACCAGCCAAGUCGAGUGAGGGAUGAAGGUUCUAUGGAUCGUAAUCCUCUUUUAUAAGGGAAUAAAGUGCGGGACGUGUCCCGUUUUGAAUGUACCUUAUGAAUAAGGACCGGCUAACUCCGUG
rnacentral:rRNA from 1 species